GGUUAAUGAUUUAUUUUUCAUCUCUUUGCAACGAAGAAAAACACCCGGGGACCUUAUCGGCAGUUGAAGAUGGCGAAGGUCACCCGGGUGACCAACGAUCGUAUCCCAAUCAGAUACGAUGAGCAGCAUCGCGUAUCACCAAUGGCGGAGCAGCAUAGUGCAUUGGCCCAUGAUAUUGGGCAUGUCGUGUGGAUCUUUUGCCCUAUGCGGUGGAAGUCUUGGAAGGCGAUGCCGUAGGAGACGAAGAACACGAUGCGCAACCAAUUGUCCACAAACUACAAUUUGGAGGACAAGGACGAGGACAUGUUCAUGUACCUCAAUCGGCUAUUCUUCGAACGCUACAAGCAUUGGAAGAGUGACCUGCACCAAUGUUUCCAGCAAUUUGAUGAUCUGCAGGUCGCUCUCGAGGAGGGUUGUCUGAAAGAGUUGGAGGACCCAUAAGAUAGUUGGGUUUGGCUUUGCGGUCAUUUUCAGGAGCAGGGCUAUGUGAAGAAGGUGAAGGCGAACAAGAUCAAUCGGGAGAAGAAGACUGUUCUCCACCAUUCGGGUUCGAGACUUUUCUCUUAUAGGAUGGAGGCGCAACGGAAGAAAGGUUCAAAAUUUCCGGAGAUCGACGUCUUUGCUGACGUUUAUGUUCGGCCUGGGAAUGAGUUGACCGAGUCCAUUCAUGCGACUAUAGUGGAGAAGAGUCAAUCGGUGCUUCAAGAAUCCGCCGCCUCCCAGCUUCCAUCGGACACGCUGAUUGAGUUUAUGGAUCCCCUGAGGAUGCAGGGUUUCACAUCGUGACAGAGACGUUGGACCAGACUUUCGGUCGGAGACUAGGGACUUAUUGUCAGGGGAUGGGAAAUGCCAGACGGCGGGAAAGUAGAGCCUUUCAUCCUUGCAGUCAAAGGGCCAGGUUACGGCUUUGACGCAAUAAGUCACUGGCCUACGGAGUGAGCUGGCAUGGUACAAGUCCUAAAUGUCGUUGC